UCCCUCGUGGCUCAGAUGGUAGAGUCUGCCUUCAGCGCAGGAGACCUGGGUUUGAUCCCUGGCUUGGGAA
rnacentral:tRNA from 1 species